GCUACAGGCUUAACACAUGCAAGUCGAGUUUCAGCAUGGUCUUAGCUUGCUAAGGCCGAUGGCGACCGGCGCACGGGUGAGUAACACGUAUCCAACCUGCCGUCUACUCUUGGACAGCCUUCUGAAAGGAAGAUUAAUACAAGAUGGCAUCAUGAGUCCACAUGUUCACAUGAUUAAAGGUAUUCCGGUAGACGAUGGGGAUGCGUUCCAUUAGAUAGUAGGCGGGGUAACGGCCCACCUAGUCUUCGAUGGAUAGGGGUUCUGAGAGGAAGGUCCCCCACAUUGGAACUGAGACACGGUCCAAACUCCUACGGGAGGCAGCAGUGAGGAAUAUUGGUCAAUGGGCGAGAGCCUGAACCAGCCAAGUAGCGUGAAGGAUGACUGCCCUAUGGGUUGUAAACUUCUUUUAUAAAGGAAUAAAGUCGGGUAUGGAUACCCGUUUGCAUGUACUUUAUGAAUAAGGAUCGGCUAACUCCGUGCCAGCAGCCGCGGUAAUACGGAGGAUCCGAGCGUUAUCCGGAUUUAUUGGGUUUAAAGGGAGCGUAGAUGGAUGUUUAAGUCAGUUGUGAAAGUUUGCGGCUCAACCGUAAAAUUGCAGUUGAUACUGGAUAUCUUGAGUGCAGUUGAGGCAGGCGGAAUUCGUGGUGUAGCGGUGAAAUGCUUAGAUAUCACGAAGAACUCCGAUUGCGAAGGCAGCCUGCUAAGCUGCAACUGACAUUGAGGCUCGAAAGUGUGGGUAUCAAACAGGAUUAGAUACCCUGGUAGUCCACACGGUAAACGAUGAAUACUCGCUGUUUGCGAUAUACAGCAAGCGGCCAAGCGAAAGCGUUAAGUAUUCCACCUGGGGAGUACGCCGGCAACGGUGAAACUCAAAGGAAUUGACGGGGGCCCGCACAAGCGGAGGAACAUGUGGUUUAAUUCGAUGAUACGCGAGGAACCUUACCCGGGCUUAAAUUGCAGAUGAAUUACGGUGAAAGCCGUAAGCCGCAAGGCAUCUGUGAAGGUGCUGCAUGGUUGUCGUCAGCUCGUGCCGUGAGGUGUCGGCUUAAGUGCCAUAACGAGCGCAACCCUUGUUGUCAGUUACUAACAGGUUCCGCUGAGGACUCUGACAAGACUGCCAUCGUAAGAUGUGAGGAAGGUGGGGAUGACGUCAAAUCAGCACGGCCCUUACGUCCGGGGCUACACACGUGUUACAAUGGGGGGUACAGAGGGCCGCUACCACGCGAGUGGAUGCCAAUCCCAAAAACCUCUCUCAGUUCGGACUGGAGUCUGCAACCCGACUCCACGAAGCUGGAUUCGCUAGUAAUCGCGCAUCAGCCACGGCGCGGUGAAUACGUUCCCGGGCCUUGUACACACCGCCCGUCAAGCCAUGGGAGCCGGGGGUACCUGAAGUGCGUAACCGCGAGGAGCGCCCUAGGGUAAAACCGGUGAAA
rnacentral:rRNA from 1 species